UCGGGAAUAUUGCGCAAUGGAGGAAACUCUGACGCAGUGACGCCGCGUAUAGGAAGAAGGUUUUCGGAUUGUAAACUAUUGUCGUUAGGGAAGAUACAAGACAGUACCUAAGGAGGAAGCCCCGGCUAACUAUGUGCCAGCAGCCGCGGUAAUACAUAGGGGGCAAGCGUUAUCCGGAUUUAUUGGGUGUAAAGGGUGCGUAGACGGAGAAACAAGUUGGUUGUGAAAUCCCUCGGCUCAACUGAGGAACUGCAACCAAAACUAUUUCCCUUGAGUGUCGGAGAGGAAAGUGGAAUUCCUAGU
rnacentral:rRNA from 1 species